CAGCAUGUUACUAUGUUACUGAAUUAGAGCCUGCCAUUUCAAUCCCCAAAUAAGCUUUGUUUUGCUUUUUGUCUUCUCCUGAAGGGUGAUGGCUGGAAGGCACAAGGGAUAUUUGUCUAGAAAAAGUUACUGAAAACAAAACACCACUGCAUCAAUGUCCCAGCAGCAUGCCAUAGGACUGUUUUCUGUUUUUCUUUUUCUACUCCCUUCUCUAACUGCUGACUGUUGUGGUUAAACUUCAUUACAUCCUACACAGCGUUGACAGCUGAUGUAUUUAGCAGCGUGUACUCUUUAGUGAUUCCUAGAUUAUACCCAGAGUCUCCCGUUU
rnacentral:lncRNA from 1 species